rnacentral:rRNA from 1 species
ACGAACGCUGGCGGCGUGCCUAAUACAUGCAAGUCGAACGCUUCUUUUUCCACCGGAGCUUGCUCCACCGGAAAAAGAGGAGUGGCGAACGGGUGAGUAACACGUGGGUAACCUGCCCAUCAGAAGGGGAUAACACUUGGAAACAGGUGCUAAUACCGUAUAACAAUCGAAACCGCAUGGUUUUGAUUUGAAAGGCGCUUUCGGGUGUCGCUGAUGGAUGGACCCGCGGUGCAUUAGCUAGUUGGUGAGGUAACGGCUCACCAAGGCGACGAUGCAUAGCCGACCUGAGAGGGUGAUCGGCCACAUUGGGACUGAGACACGGCCCAAACUCCUACGGGAGGCAGCAGUAGGGAAUCUUCGGCAAUGGACGAAAGUCUGACCGAGCAACGCCGCGUGAGUGAAGAAGGUUUUCGGAUCGUAAAACUCUGUUGUUAGAGAAGAACAAGGAUGAGAGUAACUGUUCAUCCCUUGACGGUAUCUAACCAGAAAGCCACGGCUAACUACGUGCCAGCAGCCGCUGUAAUACGUAGGUGGCAAGCGUUGUCCGGAUUUAUUGGGCGUAAAGCGAGCGCAGGCGGUUUCUUAAGUCUGAUGUGAAAGCCCCCGGCUCAACCGGGGAGGGUCAUUGGACACUGGGAGACUUGAGUGCAGAAGAGGAGAGUGGAAUUCCAUGUGUAGCGGUGAAAUGCGUAGAUAUAUGGAGGAACACCAGUGGCGAAGGCGGCUCUCUGGUCUGUAACUGACGCUGAGGCUCGAAAGCGUGGGGAGCAAACAGGAUUAGAUACCCUGGGAGUCCACGCCGUAAACGAUGAGUGCUAAGUGUUGGAGGGUUUCCGCCCUUCAGUGCUGCAGCUAACGCAUUAAGCACUCCGCCUGGGGAGUACGACCGCAAGGUUGAAACUCAAAGGAAUUGACGGGGGCCCGCACAAGCGGUGGAGCAUGUGGUUUAAUUCGAAGCAACGCGAAGAACCUUACCAGGUCUUGACAUCCUUUGACCACUCUAGAGAUAGAGCUUCCCCUUCGGGGGCAAAGUGACAGGUGGUGCAUGGUUGUCGUCAGCUCGUGUCGUGAGAUGUUGGGUUAAGUCCCGCAACGAGCGCAACCCUUAUGGUCAGUUACUACGCGAGAGGACUCUGGCCAGACUGCCGUUGACAAAACGGAGGAAGGUGGGGAUGACGUCAAAUCAUCAUGCCCCUUAUGACCUGGGCUACACACGUGCUACAAUGGGAAGUACAACGAGUCGCAAAGUCGCGAGGCUAAGCUAAUCUCUUAAAGCUUCUCUCAGUUCGGAUUGUAGGCUGCAACUCGCCUACAUGAAGCCGGAAUCGCUAGUAAUCGCGGAUCAGCACGCCGCGGUGAAUACGUUCCCGGGCCUUGUACACACCGCCCGUCACACCACGAGAGUUUGUAACACCCGAAGUCGGUGAGGUAACCUUUUGGAGCCAGCCGCCUAAGGUGGGAUAGAUGAUUGGGGUG